rnacentral:rRNA from 1 species
GCUAAGAAUCUUCCACAAUGGACGGAAGUCUGAUGGAGCGACGCCGCGUGGACGAUGAAGGCCGUGAGGUUGUAAAGUCCUUUUCGGGAGGGGGAAUAACCUGGGGAGGGAAUGCCCCGGGGAUGACGUGAAUCCCGGAAUAAGCCCCGGCUAACUACGUGCCAGCAGCCGCGGUAAUACGUAGGGGGCGAGCGUUGUUCGGAAUCAUUGGGCGUAAAGGGUGCGCAGGUGGCCUUUCAAGUCUGGCGUUAAAGUUCGGGGCUCAACUCCGUGAUGCGCUGGAAACUGGAGGGCUGGAGUACAGCAGGGGGCAUCGGAAUUCCAGGUGUAGGGGUGAAAUCUGUAGAUAUCUGGAAGAACACCGGUGGCGAAGGCGGAUGCCUGGGCAUGUACUGACACUGAGGCACGAAGGUGCGGGGAGCAAACAGGUUUAGAUACCCCAGUAGUCC